GGCUUGCUUCUAGGACCUGGAGUUGGUCAAGGUACUGUUGCACAAGGUAUCACGAGAUAGCCAGAAGCAGAAGGUAAAAUACGAGGUACUUUAUUGCUUAGUCUAGCUUUUAUGGAAGCUUUAACAAUUUAUGUACUAGUUGUGGCACUAGCGUUUUUAUUUGCAAACCCUUUUGUUUAA
rnacentral:rRNA from 1 species